rnacentral:lncRNA from 1 species
CAAACUGGAGAACUGAUUUUUUUUUAAUGCUAGCUAUAAUGCACUGAGAGCUAAAAAUUAGAUUUCUUCCAUCUAGUUGCCAGUUUGAAGUCAAAAGCUUAUUCUUUAUUGCCUAGGCAGGGAUCAGCCACGUCUCUAUUUGUAACAUCGGUGUAAUUUUGGCUUUGUCUCAUUCUGAUGCAAUGCUUGCGUGGUGGCGGAGGAGGCUGUUGCAGAGUGUCCCUGCUCCCAGGUGUGGCGUUUCUAGCCUGGGACCAAUGUCGCAAGGCUGUGCUUAUAUCAUGAAUAUUGCACGGAGAUGUUCUGAGGCCUGCAGUCCUAGAGCCCCUGAGGCUGAGCAUUUGUGAAUGUGGUUGAGCUUGGAAUUCCUAAUAAGAUGAAUAUUUAGGUUUAUAAAAGGGGCUGCCGUGGUAACCGAUUAUGCUGGUUCUUAAUAGAACUUCCUACUUCUCAGCAAACAGAAUUGGGCCCAAUAUACAGAACUGAUCAUAUUUACAAGGAAAAUCAGAUUUCAGUUUGUUGAUUAACCUUUUAAAAGAGACUCUUAAUCUGAUAAUGGAGAUGUCACUUUUCUUAACAAUAAGUGUUAAGAAACUUUUGAAGGUCUAUUUAUAGUUGAAUGUCAUAAACCAUCAUCUGCCUUAUGAAAAGUUGGCUGUAGUCUAAAAUUCCAUUUUGCAUUCAAGAAGGAUCUCCCUGACACACUGCGUCCUAGAGGAUUUUUUCACCCCUAGAUGGAGAGAGGUGGUUUCUGUAGCAAGACCAACACCUCCUUUAUGUUCUUUUUCAGUAUCCACUCGGUUGCAUCAAUAGGGAGGGACAAAGCCGCCUGGAAGUGUGAAGCAGUGUCUCUUCUGAAGUACAUAUGUGUGGCAGACAUCACAAUGUGCUUUCUUUCCUUUUAUUCCUCACUUUUAGUUUUUCUCCACUUGACCCACAAAACAUACUCUUCAGUACCCUCAAAAUGUACUACAGAGUGCAUUUUGUCAUAAGACUAGCUAAAUCUAUUUCCACAUGUUUAUUCAAAUUCUGCAUGCUGACACUCUACAUGGUCAACACGGCCUGCUCCACACAAGGGUGAUCUGUAAGGCAGGCACUGCAUGGUGCCACCGCGCUGGUCAAUGGCAGAGUAGCGAUUGUGCCCCUGCGGGCAUUUGCACUCUUCUAUGAUCCUUCAUAAUAGAAGUAUGUACACAGGCUGAGAUUAGUUACAGAUUUACACAAACGUGUAUAUAAAAUGAAAUAUGUACAUCCACAAGUUCAUAUGGCUGUGAAAUUGCAGUUCUGUCUCUAGAGACUCCUUCUGCCUGGAACCCGCCCUGCUCUUGUGGUCAUGUGCGUGGCUCGAGAAAUUGGUUGGGCAGAUCUGAUUCUCAAUCUGAAAGCAUCUAUCCAUACUGUCCUGAAAAUCUCCAAGAGUAGAUACAAUUUUAGUUAAUAAUAUGGGCCCAGAACAAUGUUUACAUGACAUGUAAGCAGAAAGUAUUUGAAAUUACAGCUGUCCUUUUUUAAAAUGUAAACUGAAUGAAAAAAUGUUAUGUACAUUUUUGUACAUGACUGUAUUUUGAAUAAACUGAAAUAAAAUAUUUUUAACUGU